AAAAUGGUGUAAAAGGACACUUUGGAGAAAAUACCCCUAAAACUGCCUUAUUUGGAGCAAAGGAGAGCAAGCCUGCCAAGUUGAAAUCAAGUCAAGCUAAAUAUUGAAAGUUCUAAAUAAGGAAAGUGGCAAAGAAGGAAAGAACAUUCAGCCAAAGCAAUUUGAAAUUCGAAUUUCAAAUCAGCAAGUUGCCUUUUCCUUAUUCAAGAAGCCAUAUCUCAAGUUGCCAUAAUUGAAGAG
rnacentral:lncRNA from 1 species